AUUGAACGCUGGCGGCAGGCCUAACACAUGCAAGUCGAGCGAGCGGCGGACGGGUGAGUAAUGUAUGGGGACUGCCCGAUAGAGGGGGAUAACUACUGGAAACGGUGGCUAAUACCGCAUACUAUCGGAUAACCCAUAUGGGAUUGGCUAGUAGGUGGGGUAAAGGCUCACCUAGGCGACGAUCCCUAGCUGGUCUGAGAGGAUGAUCAGCCACACUGGGACUGAUACACGGCCCAGACUCCUACGGAGGCAGCAGUGGGGAAUGUUGGACAAUGGGCGAAAGCCUGAUGCAGCCAUGCCGCGUGUAUGAUGAAGGCCUUAGGGUUGUAAAGUACUUUCGGCAGAGAGGCGUUACCCGCAGAAGAAGCACCGGCUAACUCCGUGCCAGCAGCCGCGGUAAUUC
rnacentral:rRNA from 1 species